AACGAACGCUGGCGGCAGGCUUAACACAUGCAAGUCGAACGCAUCGCCAGAUGAGCGGCAGACGGGUGAGUAACGCGUGGGAACAUACCCUUUUCUAAGGAAUAGCUCUGGGAAACUGGAAUUAAUACCGUAUACGCCCUACGGGGGAAAGAUUUAUCGGGGAAGGAUUGGCCCGCGUUGGAUUAGCUAGUUGGUGGGGUAAAGGCCUACCAAGGCGACGAUCCAUAGCUGGUCUGAGAGGAUGAUCAGCCACAUUGGGACUGAGACACGGCCCAAACUCCUACAGGGGGCAGCAGUGGGGAAUAUUGGACAAUGGGAGCAAGCCUGAUCCAGCCAUGCCGCGUGAGUGAUGAAGGCCUUAGGGUUGUAAAGCUCUUUCACCGAUGAAGAUAAUGACGGUAGUCGGAGAAGAAGCCCCGGCUAACUUCGUGCCAGCCGCCGCAGUAACAC
rnacentral:rRNA from 1 species